rnacentral:lncRNA from 12 species
AUGGGCUCAGCCUCGCCAGGGCGGCUCCGAGCCCCGCCAGAAGCCCGGGACGCCCCUUCCCCCGAGGCUGCAGCUCGAGGGGCCGCUGGGCUUUCCCGGGGGCUGACUCAGACCGGGAACGGAGCUCGGCGCUCGCUGCGGGUCAGCCCCACGCUGCCCCACCUCAUCCUGCUGAUGCAGCUCCGGCCGCGGCGGCGGGAGGCUCCCGGUGCCGCAUGCCCUGAGGACUGCCGAGACUAUGCCUCAGCCCAGCCCAUGGCGGGCUCCGGCGGGGCUUUGCUGCUGCCCGUGCUGCUCUGCUGCCUCUGCCCGGGUGAGUGACGGCGACAGGGCCACCCCGGGGACACCUGGGCCGCGCCCUGCCCCUGCAGCGCCUGCGGGGGGGACAGGGGGACAACGGCAGAGUCGGGGGUGUUGAGGGGAGCGGUGCAGGGGGGUGGGUCCCGUGUCCUGCAGCUCCUUCUCCUUCCCUCCCCCCUCCUUGGAGUGGGGGCAUUUCCAGCCUCCCAGGGCAUUUUCCAGCCUCACAGGAUAAUUCCCAGCCUCCCAGAUCAAUCUCCAGCCUCCCAGAGCCAUUCCCAGAGUCCCAGAGCCAUUCCCAGAGUCCCAGAGCCAUUCCCAGACCCCUGGGACCAUUCCCAGCCUCCCUGGACCGUUUCCAGCCUCCCGUGAUCAUUCCCAGCCUCCCAAGGUCAUUCCCUCACUCCCAGAGUAAUUUCCAUCCCUCCAUGACCAUUCCCAGCCUCCCAUAACCAUUUCCAUCCUCCUAAGACCAUUCCCAGCCUCCCAGGACCAUUCCCAGCCUCCUAGAGGCAUUUCCAUCCUCCUAAGACCAUUUCCAUCCUUCUAGUGCCAUUUCCACACUCCCAGAGCCAUUUCCAUCCUCCUAGAGCCAUUUCCAUUCCCAGAGUCCCAUGACCACUUCCAGCCUCCCAUGACCAUUUCCAGCCUCCCAGGACCAUUCCCAGCCUUCCAGGGUCAUUUUCCAACCUCCCAUAACCAUUUCCAGCCUCCCAGGACCAUUCCCAGCCUUCCAGGGUCAUUUUCCAACCUCCCAUAACCAUUUCCAGCCUCCCAGGACCAUUCCCAGCCUUCCAGGGUCAUUUUCCAACCUCCCAUAACCAUUUCCAGCCUCCCAGGACCAUUCCCAGCCUUCCAGGGUCAUUUUCCAACCUCCCAUAACCAUUUCCAGCCUCCCAGGACCAUUCCCAGCCUUCCAGGGUCAUUUUCCAACCUCCCAUAACCAUUUCCAGCCUCCCAGGACCAUUCCCAGCCUUCCAGGGUCAUUUUCCAACCUCCCAUAACCAUUUCCAGCCUCCCAGGACCAUUCCCAGCCUUCCAGGGUCAUUUUCCAUCCUCCCAUGACCAUUUCCAACCUCCCAUAACCAUUCCCAGCCUCCCAGGGUCAUUUUCCAGCCUCCCAGGACCAUUCCCACCUUCCCAGGGUCAUUUUCCAUCCUCCCAUGACCAUUUCCAACCUCCCAUAACCAUUCCCAGCCUCCCAGGGUCAUUUUCCAGCCUCCCAGGGCCAUUCCCAGCUCCCGCAGCCCCGAGCUGAGCCCUGGGCUCUGCCCCCGCAGCCGAGCCGGGCUCGGCCCUGCCCUUUCCAGGAAGAUCAGAUGGAGCCCGAUAGCGCCCGAGAGCCGGGGCUGCUGCGCAGCUCCAUCUGAUAGGGAAGGGCAGCGCCCCCGCCGCGCUAAUCGUGGGGAUCUGAGCUCUCGAGAGCGCAGGUUAUUUCCCUGCAGUCGUUUGAACAUUAGAGCAAAAGUUAAAAUCGGUGGAACGGGCGAAACUGGCUGUUAGUGAAGGGCUGGGGUGAGUCAGCGGGGCUGCUGCAGGCGGGGGGUUCAUCCCACCCCCAAAUUUGGGCUGGGAGAGACCUCGAGCUCCCCCGGCCCUGGGCAGGGACACCUCCCACUGCCCCAGGGUGUCCCAGCCCCAUUUCCAGCCCGGCCUCGGGCACUGCCAGGGAUGCAGGGGCAGCCACAGCUGCUCUGGGCACCCAGGGCAUUUUUAAAAUCUUUUCUCCCAUCUAAUCGAAAUCAACUCUUUUUUAGUUUAAAACCAUUUUCCC